GAUCAUGGCUCAGAUUGAACGCUGGCGGCAGGCCUAACACAUGCAAGUCGAACGGUAACAGGAAGAAGCUUGCUUCUUUGCUGACGAGUGGCGGACGGGUGAGUAAUGUCUGGGAAACUGCCCGAUAGAGGGGGAUAACUACUGGAAACGGUAGCUAAUACCGCAUAACGUCGCAAGACCAAAGAGGGGGGACCUUCGGACCUCUUGCCAUCGGAUGUGCCCAGAUGGGAUUAGCUAGUAGGUGGGGUAACGG
rnacentral:rRNA from 1 species